rnacentral:rRNA from 1 species
GUAGGUGACCUGCGGA